UACAGAGGUCUCAAGCGUUGUUCGGAUUCAUUGGGCGUAAAGGGUGCGUAGGCGGCGCGGUAAGUCGGGUGUGAAAUCUCGGGGCUUAACUCCGAAACUGCAUUCGAUACUGCCGUGCUUGAGGACUGGAGAGGAGACUGGAAUUUACGGUGUAGCGGUGAAAUGCGUAGAUAUCGUAAGGAACACCAGUGGCGAAGGCGACUCACUGGCCCGAUACUGACGCUGAGGCGCGAAAGCGUGGGGAGCAAACAGG
rnacentral:rRNA from 1 species